UACGUAGGUGGGCGAGCGUUGUCCGGAUUUACUGGGCGUAAAGCGCACGUAGGCGGCAUUGCAAGUCGGAUGUGAAAUCCCUCGGCUCAACCAAGGAAGUGCAUCCGAAACUGCUGUGCUUGAGUACUUAAGAGGAUCGCGGAAUUCCCGGUGUAGAGGUGAAAUUCGUAGAUAUCGGGGAGGACACCAGUGGCGAAGGCGGCGAUC
rnacentral:rRNA from 1 species